AGUGAGGAAUAUUCGGCAAUGGAGGGAACUCUGACCGAGCAACGCCGCGUGGAGGAUGACGGUUUUUGGAUUGUAAACUCCUUUUCUCAGGGAAGAGUGAGGACGGUACCUGAGGAAUAAGUCACGGCUAACUACGUGCCAGCAGCCGCGGUAAUACGUAGGUGGCAAGCGUUAUCCGGAAUUACUGGGCGUAAAGCGCACGCAGGUGGUUUUCUAAGAUUGACGUGAAACCUUCUGGCUUAACUGGAAGACGUCGUUGAUGACUGGAAGACUUGAGGCGAGGAGAGGGGUGUAGAAUUCCCGGUGUAGUGGUGGAAUGCGUAGAUAUCGGGGGGAAUACCAGUGGCGAAAGCGGCACCCUGGCCUUGGCCUGACGCUCAGGUGCGAAAGCGUGGGGAGCGAA
rnacentral:rRNA from 1 species